GUCGGUAGCCUUAUACUCGUACCAGUUUGUUUUUGUUUUGCUCAUUUAAGGGCCAUUCACCCUGCCCGCUUUGCAGAGUUCUCUCUCCUCCGUACAGCCACCGUCUCCGGCCACGACGGAUUCGUUGCCACUUUUUCUCUCCUCCUUCACCGAUGCCGGCGGUGUGCUCUGCGAAGACGACUACGAAUCAUUCAAGGUGGAGAUCUUGGAAAUCACUCCCACUCCCACCUCAAAUUGAAUUCCCAGUUCGCAAAACCCCAAUAAAGUAAGAAAAAUCAAAAAAUGGAUUUUCUAGAAUUAGAAGGGAUUGAAGGGCUAAGAUGGUCAUGGAAUUCAUGGCCGACCACGAAAUCCGAGGCAACAUCACUGGUAAUCCCCCUCUCAAUUAUGUGCACACCAUUAGCAUUAAUGGAGUCUUCAGAGCUUCCUGUUUUGGAAUAUGAACCUUUAAUUUGCAUCACAUGUGGGGCCAUCUUAAACCCUUAUGCUCGCGUUGAUUACCAAUCAAAGAUUUGGCAUUGCCCCUUUUGUCAUCACAAGAAUAGGUUCCCUAAAUCUUAUGCUGGGAUCGGCGAAAACAAUCUUCCUGCUGAACUUUUUCCUACUUACAGUGCUGUUGAAUACCAGUAUCAGUACAGUAAUUUGGGGGGUGGACAUGGGUUGUCUUCCUCUUCGUCAAGCUCUAAUCUGUCGACAUCGGCUGAUUCAAAGGCAGGUCCGGCUUUUGUAUUUGUUGUGGACCUCUGUACGCCUGAGGAUGAGCUCAGGGCACUUAAGAAUGAGUUGUUGCAUGUGAUAUCUCAAUUGCCGGAGAAUGCAUUGUUGGGAUUGGUUAGUUUUGAUUCAAUGGUUAGGGUUCAUGAUUUGGGUUUUGCUGAUUGUAAUCGGGCUGUGCUCUUUCAAGGUCACAGGGAUCUUACCUCCACUCAGAUUCAACAGUUUCUUCAAUUUCCAAGCAUGAAACAACCUUAUCUUGGGAAGACAUCAAUUGUCCAAAAGCAAGGUUUUCUGCUAGCAGUGUCAGAAUGUGAGUUUAUUGUCACAACAGUGAUUGAAGAGAUGCGUUCUUCAGGAAUGGUUGCACGUGGUCAUCGCCCUUUGAGGGCCACAGGAACAGCAAUAUCCGUUGCAGUUGGACUUAUAGAAGGAUUUAUGGUGAGAACAGGUUCCAGGGUCAUGGUCUUUACAUCUGGGCCAACAACAGUCGGCCCUGGCAUUGUGGUGGAGUCUGAUUGUAGUUAUUCAAUAAGAAACCACCGAGACCUGAUCAAUGGUCAUGCACCCUUUUUUGACAAGUCGUGUAGCUUUUACAAGAAAAUAACCCAGCGCUUAUGUGAUGCUUCCAUAGUUCUUGAUUUGUUUGCUUGUUCUUUGGAUCAAGUGGGAGCAGCAGAGUUAAAAUCCCCAGUUGAGCGGUCAGGUGGAUUUAUGAUGCUCGGAGAAUUAUUUGAGUCAGAGCAGUUCAGGAAAUGUUUACGUCACCUAUUUAAAUGUGACAACAAUGGGAACCUGAAGAUGUGUUUUGAUGCAUCUAUAGAAGUGGUGACAACUAAUGAUGUAAAAAUUUGUGGUGCCCUUGGUCCAUGUGUAUCUCUACGGAAGAGGAAUAUUCUAGUGAGUGACAAUGAAAUUGGGGAAGGUUCAACCAAUGCAUGGAAGUUGUGCUCUCUGACAAACAAGACAUGCGUUGCGUUUUUCUUUGAAGUUAAUGACAAUCAGAAAGUUGAACCUGGCUCUGCAUUUUUUGUUCAGUUUAUUACUCGUUAUCGAUAUGGAGCAACUGGGAUCCGGAGAAGGGUGACAACUGUAGCAAGAAGGUGGGUGGGAAAGAAUUCGCCAGAGAUUUCUGCUGGAUUCGAUCAAGAAGCUGCAGCCACAGUAAUGGGCAGGCUUGCGAUUGACAGAGCAGAGAGGCAUUUUGUUAGAGACGUCAUCAGGUGGGUGGAUGAUAAUUUAAUACGAUUUGCUUCCCAGUUUGGAGAUUACAUUCAAGAAGACCCAUCUUCUUUUCGCCUUUCAUCGAACUUCUCUUUGUACCCUCAAUUUAUGUAUUAUCUAAGAAGAUCCCAGUUUAUCAAUGUAUUUAACAGCUCUCCGGAUGAGACAGCUUUCUUUAGAUUGAUGUUGAAUCGUGAAGGAGUGGUGGGUUCUAUGAUCAUGAUUCAACCCACACUUUUCCAGUAUUCAUUUGACGGUCCACCUAUUCCAGUCCUCUUAGAUAUUUGCUCAGUGUGUCCUGAUGUAAUUUUGCUUUUUGAUUCAUACUUCUAUGUGGUUAUCCACUAUGGUACGAAAGUUGCACAGUGGCGGAAGCUUGGUUACCACAAGGACCCAAACCAUGAGAAUUUCAGAAAGUUGUUGGAAGCACCUGAACUGGACGCUGAUCAACUCAUUGUUGAACGGAUGCCAGUUCCCAAACUCAUCAGAUGUGACCAACACAGUAGCCAGGCUAGGUUUCUUCUUGCCAAGUUGAAUCCUUCUGUUACCCAUAAUUCAACAUAUACUGAUGGUUCAGAGAUUAUAUUCACUGAUGAUGUGAGUUUGAAAGUUUUCAUGGAUCACUUACAAGAGUUGGCAGUGCAAGGAUGAUGACAAGUUCAUAACCAUAUCAGGGUACAUGAGGAGGUUGACAUCUAUUUGGGUAUAAGGGGAUUUUCAUUUUUCUCCAUUUGCUAGUUGUUCUGCUUGUUCGAUGCAUAACUCCUUGAUAUCCAGAGUCUGGAUGCAACUAUUGUCAGUCAAUGAAUUGUGGAUGAAACUGUGGCUGGCUUGGAUAGUAUAACUGUUGGGUUAAGGGGGACAGGGAAUAUUACUGGCUCCUCAGUUCUAGCUCUGAUGCCGUAUGUUCUGUAUCGAGUAGCUCAUAUGAGACUUAGCACCCGUCCGUGACUAAAAUGCUAUUACAGCUGAUUAAUUCUUGCAGAUUAUGUAUUAGUCCCUGUCUUGGAUCAUCUGGUGAUACUCUGAGUUUAUCUAUGGUUGUCUUAUUGAUCUCCUAAUUAGCGUGCUUUUUCAGCUUUCUAGUUUCCCUUUCCGGUUUUACUCAGAUUUGUUCUUCAGUUCAUGUGGAGGAAACAUUUGCUGCUAUCGCAACCUUUCAGCCUAUGUUUUUACUUUGAUUCUAUAA